AUUGAACGCUGGCGGCAGGCCUAACACAUGCAAGUCGAGCGGAUGAAGGGAGCUUGCUCCUGGAUUCAGCGGCGGACGGGUGAGUAAUGCCUAGGAAUCUGCCUGGUAGUGGGGGAUAACGUCCGGAAACGGGCGCUAAUACCGCAUACGUCCUGAGGGAGAAAGUGGGGGAUCUUCGGACCUCACGCUAUCAGAUGAGCCUAGGUCGGAUUAGCUAGUUGGUGGGGUAAAGGCCUACCAAGGCGACGAUCCGUAACUGGUCUGAGAGGAUGAUCAGUCACACGGGAACUGAGACACGGUCCAGACUCCGACGGGAGGCAGCAGUGGGGAAUAUUGGACAAGGGGCGAAAGCCUGAUCCAGCCAUGCCGCGUGUGUGAAGAAGGUCUUCGGAUUGUAAAGCACUUUAAGUUGGGAGGAAGGGCAGUAAGUUAAUACCUUGCUGUUUUGACGUUACCAACAGAAUAAGCACCGGCUAACUUCGU
rnacentral:rRNA from 1 species